AAUAUUGUCACCUGGGGCUCUUAUUAAAAUGCAGAUUCUGCUUCCAUGGGUCUGGAGUGGGGCCUGAGAGCCUGCAUUUCUAACAAGUUCACAGGUGACGAUGAU
rnacentral:pre_miRNA from 1 species